AGGUAUCGCCGGACCCGUCGCUCGCGUGUGUCGAAUAUACGCGCGGCAUUCGAACGGCACAAACGGACAGGGCAAACACGCUCCACCACUGCUCCUGCUGCUGCUUGGACUUGCGACGAGCUUCACAAGCGUUGGUCCAUAAACGACUUCUGGAUACAUCCACUUAAGUCACAAGGAGAACACACGCAUACGGCUAACAUUUCAGAUACAAAUGCAGAUCAUUAAUAGAAAAUAGCGUGGGAACCAAUUGUUAAAACAGAAAUUGUAAACCUAACGUAAAUACAUUCAUCAGAAGUAAGCAACUCGAAUGGGCUGGGCACUUAAGGAAAGAAAAUGGCAUUUGCAGGCAAAUUCUGAUGGGCAGAAUCAAUGGCAGAAGACCCAGAGGCCACCCUAGGCAUAGAUGGAUACACACCAUUUAAAAUCAGAUCUGGCAAGGAUUGCACCAGGAACAGAGCUAGCAAGAAGUAAAAAUAGAGAGAAAUGGCAAGAAAUAGUGGAAGCAGGGAAGGCCCUCAACGGGCUGUAAAAGCUAAAAAAAAAAAAGAGAGAAAUCAUUUAGGUAUAAAGAUUUUUUAUUAAGUAUAAACGAAAGUAGGACUAGUUGUCAAGUAUCAUUAGAUAUCUUCAAAUAACUAGUACUAAAAAUUGUUAAUUCACUUUAAAUGACUAAUUAAUAUUAGUUAAG